UACGAAGGGGGCUAGCGUUGCUCGGAAUCACUGGGCGUAAAGGGUGCGUAGGCGGGUUUUUAAGUCAGGGGUGAAAUCCUGGAGCUCAACUCCAGAACUGCCUUUGAUACUGAAGAUCUUGAGUCCGGGAGAGGUGAGUGGAACUGCGAGUGUAGAGGUGAAAUUCGUAGAUAUUCGCAAGAACACCAGUGGCGAAGGCGGCUCGCUGGGACGGUACUGACGCUGAGGCGCGAAAGCGUGGGGAGCAAACAGG
rnacentral:rRNA from 1 species